CUGCGCCUUUAAGAUUAUUUAAUUUAGGAAAGUUAAGUUCUGUUAUUUGGACUGGGGGUGACCCGUUUAGGCUAGAGAUGAUUGAUUUUGUCACAAAGAUAUGGCAACCCUGCCAAGCCGGUCCGUAAACACUUAAGUACAAGCUGACUGUGCGUUUGCAUUAUGGCAUCUAGUUAUAUAUAUCUAUGGGCGCAGUGCUACAAUGAUUAUCUUUUAGUUAACUGGACAAAUAAAUGCAAAAAAGUUGGCUUAACCAGUGAAAAGAAGUUGGUUCAACAACCGUUGGACUAACCUAUUAUUACUUGUAAAUUCGAUUAAUAAAUGCAAGUUAACAACCAAAGAAGUUGGGUUGAAGGUUGGAGCAUGCGCAUUGUAACGAUCACGAGGUUGGCGCAUGUGCAAUGAAGCGCGCUCCAACGGACAGAUUCAGACUGCUGGACGGAGACAUUUUAGCAUCUUCGUGCGAGACUAAUGGAUCUACUCACAGCCAACGUGUUUCUGCUCAAAGCCAUCGUUUUAGACUGAGAUCAGAGGCAAUAAACAUCUGCAAAAAAAAAUUCCUGUGUCCUUCGAAGCCUGGCUAGGCUCUCACGUGUUUUGCAGACUACUUCGACGGUGUCGACAAGACUGCAAUCGUCUCAUUUAAAUUAUGUAAUGAGUUCAAACGCAUCACUAGUGUGGACCUCCUCGAAACAUUCAGAGCAUCAAUACACCAGCACACUCCGCAACUCCUCAAGCUAUACAGAGCAAGAAAGGGGGCAUUUGGAACAGAAAUGGAAGAUCUUCUCAACAAGCUUGAUCAGCAGACCACAAGUAUUGUGACUCACAGAAAGCAAACCGUCCUGGAAGGUCUCCCCAUGUUUCUACGAGAAGAUUCCUCUGUACUUUUUAAAACAUGGACAAGACUCCAGAGGACAGACAGACCAGAGGGAUGAAGGUGGGAAUCCUUAUUGUAAUUGAAGAUGAUGCCCCCCCCAGCACACUGCCCAGUGUCACAAAAUUUGCUGUUGUGUUGGUGGAGGGGAUUGUACUGAGAGAAGCUCCAGACUUGCAGUCUGCACUUGCAUACCUGUUUGGCCCUCUGUUUGCCUUGGACUUUGAGUACCCAAAGCAACGGAAAUACACUUUUGAGGUUAUUGAGAAAGUGUUUAUGGAGAUGGGCACUCAUUGCUCUGCUAGGGUACAGACCCUCAAAACUAAGCUAUUACUGUGAGAUGAAUUUGUGAGAUGUUUGUAUCUUACAUUUAAGAUGCAAGUAGAUAGUUUUUUUUUUUUGCAAUUUGCUUGCAUUUUGUUUGACUCAUUUUUGUUUAAACUGUUAACUUGAGGUUGUGAUAAACAUUGGUGCCACUGUUUCAGCACUUACAGCACAAACGUUAACUUGCACUUAUGGUAUAAAGCUGCUCAGUUGUAACAUAUUCAGUGUUUACAAUUUAAAAUGUAAAACAUUUAAAAGAUAGAACAUUUAAAGUGUUUAUGACCAGUUGAAUGUUAACACUUUGAAUGUAAAAGUACUCUUUAAAAAAAAA